AAACGAGUUAAUCUCAUCCUAAUCUGGUCGCAUCACAAAACUUACCUGCUACCGAUUUGGCUUGGGAUUGACUCGUUG
rfam:Caenorhabditis brenneri strain PB2801 C_brenneri-6.0.1_Cont65.3, whole genome shotgun sequence.